AGAGAAUAAACUUUUUUUCAUUUGUAUGAUAAUGGAUUGUCUAGCCGUUAAAAGGAUAAGUAUUUCUUUUCAUUUGCUCGAUUUUCAUAAAACCAAAUGUUCUAUCGUUUCUUUUAAAGUACGACAGUUUCAUUGCCAUUAUAGCUUAAAUUUUAAAGGUUGAAAUAGUAGUCGGACAUUACAUAUUUCGGACGUUGCUAAACAUGUUUGUUUUCGACACAGUUUAAUGAUUUUUGUUCAGAUAAAGUUUUAAAGUUGUUGUACUUGUAAUGAUUCACGGUAGUAUGUCUGGAAUAUCUUCUCUGAUGAUUAGAAGUCUUAAACUUAUCAUACAUGAGCAUUACCAAUGUUCUGUCAAAAUAAGAUAUAGGAAUUUACAAAAUACAUGAACACGAAUAUGUUCAGCUGAGCAACUUCAAUCCCACAAUGAUGUCUGGUUAGCACAGUGGUUGAUUCACAUUUUCACGUAGCCAAGGUGGUCUAUAUUGACCACACCACAAUUGAAUAUAUUUCAAUAAAAAAUAAUAAUCUGGAAUUGGUUGUCAGACAUGCACUUUAUUAUAAAACAACUAUGUCCCUGUGUGAUGUACUGUUAUAUGCUCAAUAAUCACAGACAAUUGAAAUACCCAUCAGUGUAAAAAUUAGUACCAAAUUUGCAAGGAUGUUAAGUUUAAAUAAUGCUUGCUUACUUUUCAUCAUUCCCAUUUGUCUGAUUUACUUAUAUUUGUUUUGUGUGAUUGUAUUAAAUGAUCAUAUUUGAAACAAACUCUUGUGCAUUAUUUUGGUAGGUGCUUGUGAGUCUAAGGUACUUGGCGAAAGGUGAUUUUCUGUCUGAGGUUGCUGACCUUCAUGGAAUUAGCAGGUCCAGUGCAUGCAAUAUUAUUGCAGCCUUUGUUGAUGCUGUUAAUUUAAGAAUUGAUAAUGUAAAGUUCAUUGACAUUGUGUCGAAAUGGCCUGGGUCUACGCAUGAUGCCUCUGCCUUUGACAGCUGUGGGUUGAAGACCUUUCUGGAAGAACACCACCAAGGGCACUUGCUGGGCGACUCGGGCUAUCCCUUGAAAAAAU